ACAACAUUCUUUGGAUGCUGUCGUGGCUUCAUGCAGCGGAAAUGGAAGGCAAGGUAUACGUCAAGGAGGAUCUGGAGACCAACAACUUUCCUUGAGAGAGUAUGGAGAAAAUCGUGGAAAAAGGCCCAUUCAUCCCUUGGGAACCACAACUCC